rnacentral:rRNA from 1 species
GGGUGAAAGCCUGAUCCAGCCAUGCCGCGUGGGUGAAGAAGGUCUUCGGAUUGUAAAGCACUUUCAGUUGGGAGGAAGGGCAGUAACCUAAUACCUUCGUGUUUUGACGUUACCGACGGAAUAAAAACCGGGUAACUCUGUGCCCGCAGCCGCGG